rnacentral:ncRNA from 1 species
GCAAAGGGGUGCCGAAAGGCUGAGAUUAUACCCUGAGAACCUGAAGCGGGUAAUGCCGCCGGAGGGAUUG